UACGUAGGGGCCUAGCGUUGUCCGGAUUUAUUGGGCGUAAAGAGCUCGUAGGCGGCUUGGUUAGUCAGGUGUGAAAUCUCCACGCUCAACUGGAGGGGCCGCCUGAUACUGCCAUGGCUUGAGUCCGGUAGGGGAGUGUGGAAUUCCCGGUGUAGCGGUGAAAUGCGCAGAUAUCAGGUGGAACACCGGUGGCGAAGGCGGUGAUCUGGGCCAGUACUGACGUGAGGAGCGAAAAGCGUGGGGGAGCAAACAGG
rnacentral:rRNA from 1 species